rnacentral:lncRNA from 1 species
UCAUAACACCUCGUCCUUGAGUGCAGGUGGGCCUGCGUUAAUUAGGCGAGCCCUUGUGAGAGAGGUCUAAAGAUAGAAGACAUGAAAGAGAUUCAGAGCUGCAGAAGAUGCUCUCCUGUUGUUCUGCAAGGGGCAGACUGCCAUAUGUGAGAGGCUCUAUGGAGAGGCCACACAGGAAGCAAGGACCUGCAUGCAGCCUCCAGGAGCUGAGAGCGGUCCCUGGCCAAAAGCUGGCAAGGAAUUGGAGACCUCAGUCCUACUGCCAUAAGGACAUGCAUCCUGCCAACAACCAGGGAUCUUGGAAUGAGAACAUAAGCCUCAGAUGAGAUGGCAGUCCCAGGUGACACCUUGAUUUCAGCCUGCUUCACCAUGAGAUGGCCUUGAGGAUAGAAGUUGCGUACUAAGAUGAUGGAGCAGACAGAUGAAACCUUGUACUAAGAUGAUGGAGCAGACAGAUGAAAGAUGGAGGCCUUGGUGAAAGGCAGGUCCCUGGCAAUACUAUGAGAGAGUUGAAAUUAAUUCUGACACAGGAAGCAAAAGUGGAAGUGAGAAACUAAUAAAGAGAUGACUGCAGUAUUCCAUGUGAGAGAUGAAGUUGAUGUGGACCAGGGCAAAUGGUGGAAGUGCUGGGAGGUGUAAGAUACCAAAUAUACUUU